GAUGAACGCUGGCGGCGUGCCUAACACAUGCAAGUCGAGCGGCAGCGAGGGGUGCUUGCACCCUGUCGGCGAGCGGCGGACGGCUGAGUAACGCGUGGGAACGUGCCCCAAAGUGAGGAAUAACUGCCCGAAAGGGUAGCUAAUACCGCAUAUUAUCUUCGGAUCAAAGGAUUUAUCCGCGUUGGGAGCGGCUCGCGUCGGAUUAGGUAGUUGGUGAGGUAAUGGCUCACCAAGCCGACGAUCCGUAGCUGGUCUGAGAGGAUGACCAGCCAGACUGGAACUGAGACACGGUCCAGACUCCUACGGGAGGCAGCAGUGAGGAAUCUUCCACAAUGGGCGAAAGCCUGAUGGAGCAACGCCGCGUGCAGGACGAAGGCCUUCGUGUUGUAAACUGCUUUUAUAAGUGAGGAAUAUGACGGUAACUUAUGAAUAAGGAUCGGCUAACUACGUG
rnacentral:rRNA from 1 species